CCAGCUUGCUGGGUGGAUUAGUGGCGAACGGGUGAGUAACACGUGAGUAACCUGCCCUUGACUCUGGGAUAAGCGUUGGAAACGACGUCUAAUACCGGAUACGAGCUUCCACCGCAUGGUGAGUUGCUGGAAAGAAUUUUGGUCAAGGAUGGACUCGCGGCCUAUCAGCUUGUUGGUGAGGUAAUGGCUCACCAAGGCGACGACGGGUAGCCGGGCCUGGAGAGGGUGACCGGCCACACUGGGACUGAGACACGGCCCAGACUCCUACGGGAGGCAGCAGUGGGGAAUAUUGCACAAUGGGCGAAAGCCUGAUGCAGCAACGCCGCGUGAGGGACGACGGCCUUCGGGUUGUAAACCUCUUUUAGCAGGGAAAAAGCGAAAGUGACGGUCCCUGCAGAAAAAGCACCGGCUAACUACGUGCCAGCAGCCGCGGUAAUACGUAGGGUGCAAGCGUUUGUCCGGAAUUAUUGGCCGUAAAGAGCUCGUAGGCGGUUUGUCGCGCUCUGCUGUGAAAUCCCGAGCCUCAACCUCGGGUUCUGCAGUGGGUACGGCCAGACUACAGUCCGGUAGGGGGAGAUUGGAAAUUCCCUGGCUGUAGACGG
rnacentral:rRNA from 1 species